GGUGGCUCAGUGGUAGAGUGCUUGCCUCGCACGCAUGAGGUCCUGGGUUCAAUUCCUCAGUACCA
rfam:Dipodomys ordii contig_19206, whole genome shotgun sequence.